CCCUUAGAUGUUCUGGGCCGCACGCGCGCUACACUGAUGCAUUCAACGAGUCCAACCUUGACCGAGAGGUCCGGGUAAUCUUUGAAACUGCAUCGUGAUGGGGCUAGAUUAUUGCAAUUAUUAAUCUUCAACGAGGAAUGCCUAGUAAGCGUGAUUCAUCAAAUCGCGUUGAUUACGUCCCUGCCCUUUGUACACACCGCCCGUCGCUCCUACCGAUUGAGUGUGUUGGUGAAUGAUUCGGACCAGCGUGCUGCUCAGAUCCUGCGCAGUGUGCUGGGAAGUCUAGUGAACCUUAUCACUUAGAGGAAGGAGAAGUCGUAACA
rnacentral:rRNA from 1 species